ensembl:lncRNA
CCCGCGCACGGCCGGUGCUCGGUGUCGUGCUUGCUGCCGGUAACGGCGGGUAACGGCGCCCGCCCGCAGCUGUGGCUGGGCUGAGGGCGAGCGGGGGGGGCGGGGGCACGUAAAACCUGCUGAGGGGAGAAAAGCGUUUUAAAACCUCCGCCGCGGCCUUCACCCGCCCCCCGUGAGGGUCGCGGCGGAGCGGGAUGAGGGGUGGGAGAAGCGAGGCGUGCGCGAGGAAGGAAGGAAGGAAGGAAGGAAGCAAGCAAGCAAGCAAGCAAGCAAGCAAGCAAGCAAGCAAGCAAGGGGGAAGCAAUUUUCCUCCUUUCCUGAUAUGGUUCUGCGUAGCAUCCUGCACUGUAUACAGUUUCUGGGUGUUCCAGUCACUACUGACAAAACGUAACAUAUCAUCUGGUUUUUAUGUAGCCUGCUAAGUUUACCAGGAAAAGGAAGGAUCUGACAUCUGACAAGAAUCCCUUCCUGAGCUUUCAUCUGCAAUGGUAUUGUUAUCGGUCAGCUUUUUUGCUUUUUCUCAUGCGUGCACACAGCUGCUCUUCAGAAGAUGAUCAUUUCAGAUCUUAAAAUAACAUUUCACCUACAUUAUUCAGCACAGCUGUCUGAAAAUUCACAUGAGAAGAAGUACAUUUGUAGUAAUGUUGAAUGUUGGGAGAUUUAUGCUGUGGGUUAGCAUGCAUGUCAGAAGAAAGGUUUCAGAGAGACAAAAGGCCACAUGCCUUCAGAUUUUUGAGAAAUUGUAUUAUUUUUAACCAAUCCAACAAUUGUAUGUAAUGAUGUAUGUAAAAGGUUAACUCUACUUCAACUGUAGAGAUUAAAAGGAAAGACCACAGAUCUUGUGAUGGAGAAGCUGAUGAUGGUCUAAAAGGACAUAUUCUCCAACUACUCUGCAGAUCUUAAGACUAACACAAGGACACAGUAUGUUACAAAAGGGAACUAACGUGUUCCUCUCUUUCCUGCCUGCUUCUCCACUUGGAAGCGAGGGAUGUUUUUCAGCCAGAAAGACUUUGCCUGCAAGGAAUUGUAAGAAAUUGUAAGAUUAUGAAUCUUUUAUCAUGAGAAGCCCAUGGGAAAACUUUGCUUAAAAUUCUGAAAAUGGUAAUGGAUUAUCGUAAACAUUCAUUUAAAUUUGUUUUGUCCUGAUCAUGUCAUGAACCACAGAAUGUUGCAGCAGAAAUAUAUGCAUGGCGGAUGAUUGCCUGGAUAUAUAGCAGGCUCACUGAAUCUAAAGGAAGUUUGCUGUCAGAAUUUCGGCUGUAUCAAGAGUUUGGGAUGUGACCACCCCUUAGCCUGUGGAAAGCAUGAGUGUUGCUGCUGAAGCUCUCUGUGAUAAUGCCUUUGCUGUCUAGAUACAGACCAACUACACGUUUCUGUGAUCUCUACUGAGAUGCAUGUAGCUGUUUCUCAAUGCAUACAAUGCAUACUCUGCUUUGCACAAUUCUGUUAGCUUGGAGCUAAACCUAGCAUGAUUGCUACAGAGGCUUCUCUGGCCAGAAUUCCUGGCAAGAAUUUUAAGGAAGGGUUUGCUUGCAGUUAGCUGCCAGAAGGAUAUAAUCAUUGAUUACUUGCAGUAGAAAGCACAGUAAUCCAUUCUCAAAUGGUAAUGGGAAAAGAAGAUGGUAUUUGUGAAGAGAAAAUAAGUAUUAUAUCGUGAUUGUUCUUUAUUCUCAAAUAUUUACUAAAUAAAAACAAUGUAUAAAUGUUGACUUUUUUUUUUUUGCUGACUAUUUUUUCAGAUAGCAUUAAGUCUUUUAAGAAAAGUAAAGGAAAUACAGUUACAACAUUGUUUAAAACUAUUCUAGAUUUCAUUUUGUGCAUCACCAACGUGAAAGUCUAGUUCUAUCUCUCCUAAUAAGUAUUCUUUUGGUAAAGACUCAUGGUAUGAAAAUAGUUGCUUCCAGAUGCAUCAUUUUUUACAAGUACUUGGUAAACAUGAUAUCACAGAGAGUUAUAUAAUAAGAACAUACUGAGGCCUCUCUGUGGUGUGGUCUGGGCUGUAUUGGAAGCAUAUGCCCACAGGCUGGAGCUCUGAGUUCAGAUACCACUGAAUGCGGGCAGAUUAUGGUAAGAUAGCUAAAUAGUUUCCGUCCCUACCUGUCUGUUCUACUUCUUUCUUGAAAGUUUGUAUUUCCAUGAUAAGGGGAGGUAAAGAGCCUAAAAGUGCCUUUAAAAUUGCAUGGGCUGAAGGUGGAGAAGGUGGCUGAGGUGUCUAUAUUCCUUUGUGAAAUGUGUGUCACUAGACAAAAGGGAGGAAGCAACUAAAAACCAAACAAGCUCUGAAGUUCUGCACAGCCUUUGCUUCCCCUCUAGUACAGGCCAGAUAGAUCCUAUUUCAUUUAUUAUUAAAACUCCUGCUGAACUUCUGGAAAUUGAUAUCAGGGAAGAACACACUUUGCAUGGAAAAGUGCUGAGAAUACCAGUGAGGAGAAUGUGACUGCGAAUGACAGUGGGAGUGUUUUUAUUUCAUCUAAGUUUGAAAUAGGAGAACAGGAUAGACUGCUGAAAGCAACUCUAGCAAUGCAAUACCCAGUAUCGGGAGAACAAAAUCCUUUUGUUUCCUGACCUCGGCCUCAUCAAACAAACCAAGAGAAAAGUGUUAUUGAGCUGGAGGAAUCUGUUUACUGGAAAGAAUACUGAGUCUCUACGAUGGCAUCUUACAGUACAAAAGAUGUUGUAACAGAACAGACCUAUUCUGGAAAAGAGACGUAGCAACGAUGCCCAGAUGACAGCAAAGUCAAUGGAAAAUGAACCUGCAUGAACUAAAAAGUAAACCCUGUCAAUAAUUUUGAUUCCUUUAUUUAGCUGACAGCUGUACCUAAAAUUGAUCUCAGUUAUACUGAUGUAAGAUGUUCUAAGGACUGUUUAAUUGACAUGCAUUUACCUCUGUGUGAAAUGUCCCAGUUAAAUACGCUUGUGCCUUCAAAAAUGCAUGAUGUGGUUGAGUAAAUAAUGGUAAAAAAAAUCUAUCCAAAAUUAAUAUUAAUUUUCUAUACUGUAGACUUAAUGAAACUGUUUCUUAGUGCUUUCUUGUAAUGAGCUCUGGAAGCUCCUGAUCAUCUUGCUGUAAUAUCAGAGACUUUCUUUAGUAUUUGUGCUUUGCUUUCCCUGCCAAACAGGCUUCAAUAUUCUUAUACUCUAUAUCUCGAUAUGCAUUUUUUGGUAUAUGUAAUUAAUCAUCUAAGCUAUGUGCUUUGCCUCUUGACUGGAUGAUACACUUUCAAAAUAGGAAAAAUAUAGCAUAUCAUAAAUAAUGCAUUUUCACAU